rnacentral:rRNA from 1 species
AUGGUUACCAUUUGUCAUUAUCGAUUGUGCUUACACGUGAAGAAAAUGAACUGCAAGUCUUCUAUCUCUCUCUUAUUUGCUGCACUGAUCCCCUACAUGUUCCUGGUAUUUGAUGCAAGUCAAGCUGCAGUUCCAACGGAUACCCUUCUUCCUGGCCAAUCUAUCUCGGGCAGCGAAAUUUUGGUCUCCGAGAAUGGUGUAUUUGAGUUGGGGUUCUUCUCCCCGUCCCCAGGUGCCAUGAAGCACUACUUGGGCAUACAGUACAAGAACCUGAUAGGCAGCCACCGAGCUAUGUUCUGGCUGGGGAACAGAAUCCCUAUCACCAGCUUCCUCAACACAACCUUGUACCUUGCCGCAGGUGAAUUAUAUAUCGAGGAGCUUGGUUCUGUUCUCUGGACCUCGGGUUCAGCAACAAAUGGAUCAGCCGGUUCUGUGGCGGUUCUCCUUAACACUGGGAAUUUUGUUGUGAGAGAUCAGACCAACCAUUCUAAGGUCAUAUGGCAGAGCUUUGAUCAUCCAGCUGAUGCUCUGCUACCUGGAGCAUGGCUAGGAUUGGACAUGGCCACCGGAGCACACAUCUCACUUACUUUAUCCAAGCCUCCUUACCAUUGCACCCUCGUGAUUGACCAGAGUAGGAAGAUGGGAUUUGUCAUGUCCAUUGAUGGGCAUGACCAUCUUGGUACCUUUCCAGACGGGAUGGUAACAUAG